UUUUUUUUCACUUUUUUGUUCUUUUUGAAUUGUCAUUAUUAUUGGAAUAGUCUAACCUUAUGUUAUAUGUAUAUCGAGGUUUAUGAUUAGAUUUGGAUAACUAAGAAUCCUAAUCUAACUUCUAACCAUAAGUCACAUUGAGUUUUGUGAUUAAAUUUAAUUACGUAGUUGUACCUAAUCUGUCCAGUUAACACGGCCAAAUAUGAGAUGAGGGUAUCACACUUUUACACGUUUAUUGUCCUCUAUUUAACACAAGAUUUAUAACUUUUUUUUUUUUUUGCGUGGAUUGGCCUUAUUUUGGGGUGGUCUUUAAUUUUUGCCCUCAAAUUACUGGUCUUUAAUUUUUACCCUUCGCUUAAAAAGGUGACAGAAAAUAUCCUGAGGUUUUGAAUUCGAAACCCCGCUUAGUAAAAAAAAAAAAUCGCAAGGCAAGGUUUUUGCAAAAAGUCUGCCUUAUGCGGCAGACUUUGUCUUAAGGCAUAACUGAAAGUUUGCCUUACAAGGCAAAGUCUGUCGUCUCAGGCAUAAGUUCUAUGUAACUUCGCCUGAAUAGACAUAGGUUCGACUUUACUGGGUUUCGAACCUAGAACCUCGGGGUAUUUUCGGCCACCUUCUUAAGCGAAGGACAAAAAUUAAAGACCAGUCCGUAUGAAGGGCAAUCAUGCAAAUUACCCGAUUCAUAAGGAUUUGUUCAAUUGAUGGUAUGAAAUAAUUGACAACAUAAAAUCCUGCAUAAGAUAAUAUAUUAUUUGGAUGGAUGUGUAACAAAAAAUUAUUGGUCACAUAACUAAAAUAUUAUGGGGGAUAGAAUGUGGAUAAGAACGCAUAUAUUGAUAAUUCGGAGAUUAAAUUAUUUAAAAACAAAUAUAUUCUUUUAAAACAAUUAAUUCACGUAUAAUGAAUGAUAAUCGCUGCAUAACAAUACUUCAUUAGAGAUCUUUUUAAUCUCAACAAAUGUGUGUGUGUUGGGUUUUUGGUGAGGGGGGUUUGUAUAGUUAGGGGCAGUGGAUUGAUUUGGGUCCAUUCCAUUUAUGUGUAUUGAAAGCUACUCACUGCUAAGUAUUCUUGUCUAGCUUUUAACAAACUCUGGAAUGUGAAGUGUUAUGGGAUUUGUCCAAAUGCAGAGUUACAAAAUUUUUGCCAUUCUAAGACAGAAAAAGCUUGCUAGGUCAAGUCAAUGAGAAAAAUAUUGAGGGCAAAUUACUACUUAUUAUGUAUUGAAAAACUUUAGGUGUCUGGCACAAUAUGCGGUGUUCGUUACAUUAACUAACCAUUCAGUGGACAAAAGGAAUAAGAUUACUUUUCGAAAUCGUCUUAGAUAAAUCUACAGAAUUCAACAAAGUGCUAGUACUUUUAAUUUUUUUAUUUGUAUUUCACGUGUUUAUUCGAUUUUAAGCUAUAUCCAUUAAAAAUGUAAAAUUAUUUAAAAUUGAGUUAUUAUAACUUACUUUUCAAAUGAUUUGGUUGAAAAAAAUUUGUUACACACGUUGACUAACAAAACAGACGCCCAACAAAUGGGAAUACACUGGGAAUGUUUUUUUUUUUUUUUUUUGGAUUAAGUAGCCAUCUCCAAUCCAAGGAGCAUGACUUGCUUUUAUUCAUAACAUCAAUGGUCCAAAAGAAAAGGGAUAGCAACCCCCUUCACCUACUUUGAUGGAACAGGCUCCAUCUCAUCUAAGUAGGAUUUCAAAAAAAUGUAAUCUAAGUUUGGGGAGAUGACUCAUCUUCUCAAUCCUAUCAGCAAAAAGAGAUCAAGAUACAUCGAACAGAUAAUUUUUAUACAUUGUUCUAUGCACAUAAAAUGAGUUUUUAACAGUAGACUUUCGGAAAGAGGGUAGUUUCAUCUAGUCCACCUUGACCUCUUCUCUAGUAUUUUUUUAUAGCUCCUGAAAGCUGUUCAUCCAUAAAUUGCCUCCACAGCUCAGACCCCAAUUAGUCAAGCUAUCAGCAGCUCUAUUACAUUCACUAAAACAGAUCUUUUUUUUUUAUAUAUAGUUUUCUCUUAUAUGGAUUCAAGAUUAUGCUGGAUAUGCUCUAUGAUAUUCACCAAGAUCCGUGGAGGCUUGGACUUAUUUAGUAUCCAAUCCACCAACAAUAUCACUUUCAAUCUCCAAGCUGUUUACAUCAUUAGUCAUACACCACUCAAUUCCCAUUUUCAGUGAUAAGGCUUGUGCCAUAUUGUUCGUAAUGUUUCCCAAAUAAAAAGCAUAAGUUGUGAUUAAAUCAUCUCUUUGGUCUCUAAUUAAACCACCAGCCCCACUUGGACCUGGAUUUUAUUUGGAGCAACUAUCAGAGUUCAUUUUCCAUGUGCCAGGUGCAGGAAAAAUCCACCUUACAUCAACAGUGCUGAUCAAGGGUUGUGCAUGUUCACUGAUCUCCAGAAACUUGCUCCAUUCCAUAAAAGGUGGAAUGGUCUUGAAUUGCUUAUGUGUAAUCAUGAUUGUCUUCUUGAUGAGGAUUAUCCACUCCAAAAAUGGCACCAAUUGGUUUGAAAAUUUAUUUUGGUGGAGCACUUUGUAUACGGUAAAAACCGGAUGCGAGGCAAACCGGUGGAGCGAGGGGGCCGACUGAUCUGCCUUCUUCGUCAUUCGAACGACCAAGCCCGGUAACCCGAGCUUUCGCGGCUGUUGGUCCGAGUAGCCGUUGGUCCAUGUGCCGUUGGUCCGAGUAGCCGUUGGUCCGUGUGGCCGUUGGUACGAGUAGCCGUUGGUCCGUGUGGCCGUUGGUCCGAGUAGUCGUUGGUCCGGGUGGCCGUUGCACGCGGGUCAAGCGCCAGUAACGUCCUGUCCUGAUCAACUACCCACCAUGCGUGUGUCAGACGGCGCCGUCAGUCUAAUCCCACCAAAUCCGUGCAGAGUUGUCCUUAUUGCUAUUAUUUUAUUAGCUCACAUCAUAUGAGACCCAUGGAGGUCACACUAUAAAUAGAGCACAUCCCCCUCCUUUGUAAGGGCUGGCUCCCUGGGAUCAACAACAUUUUUGUACUAGAAGAUAUAUACAAAUCUCUCUCUCAAUAUUAGAUUUUGGUCCGGAAUCAUUGUGUUCA